GACGAACCGUGCGAACGUUGUUCGGAUUCACUGGGCUUAAAGGGCGCGUAGGCGGCUUGCCAAGUCAGGGGUGAAAUCCUCCGGCUUAACCGGAGAAGUGCUUUUGAUACUGGCGAGCUUGAGGGAGGUAGGGGCAGGCGGAACUUCCGGUGGAGCGGUGAAAUGCGUAGAUAUCGGAAGGAACGCCGGUGGCGAAAGCGGCCUGCUGGACCUCUUCUGACGCUGAGGCGCGAAAGCCAGGGGAGCGAACGGA
rnacentral:rRNA from 1 species